GACGAACGCUGGCGGCGUGCUUAACACAUGCAAGUCGAACGAGAGCGUAGAGACAGCUUGCUUUUUCUACAAUCUAGUGGCAAACGGGUGAGUAACGCGUAAACAACCUGCCCUACGGAUGGGGACAACAGCUGGAAACGGCUGCUAAUACCGAAUACGUUCCGAAAGUCGCAUGACUAUCGGAAGAAAGGAUGGCCUCUAUUUAUAAGCUAUCGCCGGAGGAGGGGUUUGCGUCUGAUUAGCUAGUUGGAGGGGUAACGGCCCACCAAGGCGACGAUCAGUAGCCGGUCUGAGAGGAUGAACGGCCACAUUGGAACUGAGACACGGUCCAGACUCCUACGGGAGGCAGCAGUGGGGAAUCUUCCGCAAUGGGCGAAAGCCUGACGGAGCAACGCCGCGUGAGUGAAGACGGCCUUCGGGUUGUAAAGCUCUGUUAUACGGGACGAAUAAUCUUGUGGUUAAUACCCAUGAGAAGUGACGGUACCGUAAGAGAAAGCCACGGCUAACUACGUG
rnacentral:rRNA from 1 species